rnacentral:rRNA from 1 species
UACGGAGGGUGCAAACGUUGCUCGGAAUUACUGGGCGUAAAGGGCUCGUAGGCGGCCAACUAAGUCGGACGUGAAAUCCCCAGGCUCAACCUGGGAACUGCGUCCGAUACUGGAUGGCUUGAAUCCGGGAGAGGGAUGCAGAAUUCCAGGUGUAGCGGUGAAAUGCGUAGAUAUCUGGAGGAACACCGGUGGCGAAGGCGACAUCCUGGACCGGUAUUGACGCUGAGGCGCGAAAGCCAGGGGAGCAAACGGG